rnacentral:misc_RNA from 1 species
GUGAAUCAUCGAAUCUUUGAACGCAAAUUGCACUCUCUGGUAUUCCUGAGAGUAUGCCUGUUUGAGGGUCAGUUAAAAUAAAAAUCGGUGUGGUUGCUGCCUUUCGUGGUGACGCACCGUAUGUGUGUCGUCUUGCCUUUGGUUAAUUUACCUAAAAUUUUGUUUGAGUUUUUCGAACGUAUUUAAAUGAUUUUACGUACGCUUCUGAUAUCAAGUACUAGGUCCGGUCAUCCUCAUGAUCC